GCCUCCUUAGCUCAGUUGGUAGAGCGUUCGCCUUGUAAGCGGAAUGUCAUCGGUUCGAUUCCGAUAGGAGGCU
rnacentral:tRNA from 1 species